GGGUUGGUGCUCGCCGGCACAGCCAACAAGGAUGCGGAGACGAAGCAACAGUUCCUUACACAGAUCGUACAGCCGCUGAGGGAGCGGUUUGCCGUGCUCACGACGAGGGAGGAUUUUGUGAAGCUGUGUCACACGGACGCGGCGCGGGCCGAGGUCGUCCACAUGCUCGAGGCGUUCUGCGGCAUCGCCGAGGCGUGCCACAUACAGAACAUCGCCCUCUUGUUCCCCAUGCUGCAGCCGCUGCUCGUCGAGUCCAUCCCCCUGGUGAGCAUCUACAGGAACUAUCCGAACAUCGUCGAGCUGGUGUUGGAUUUCUACGUGUCGGCAGCAAGAACCUCCAUAUGUUACCUC